rnacentral:lncRNA from 1 species
AAAUCAAAAUGAAAAAUAUAUUUAUUUUGCAAUCAAAUUCUAUCUAGCCAGCCACAAGGAAAGAACAGAGCCGAGCCCGGGGUCGGCCCUGGGUGUGCAACAAGGAGUCAGCCUCAGCAGAGGUUCCCUCUAUGCCCACACACCUCCAUCCUGGCACAAGCGGUUUUUAUAGGGAAAAUUCCGCCCGAGGCCAAGAUUUCGGCAGUCAGUCUUUUCUUCCAUUCAGAGUCCAUAGGUUAAUAAGAUUUUCUUUUUUGGUGAUGAGGAAGAACAACUCAGUGUCCGGAGUUGUUGAAUCCCUUGAUGAAAUUUACGGGAACACUGCCCGAGGAUUUCCAUGAUAUCCAUCUCAGGUCGUUCACCCGAUGAUCAGCGAGCACCUGGGCGUCCACUAUCUCUCCAGACAUGGCCCAUCUCCCAGCGAGAUUUAUUUGUAAAUCGGGUUCUAAUAUACACCAGGUCUUGCCUGCGAGGGUGGGGGGACUCCUAAUACAGACGUGUAUACUCCAACAAAUAUUCAAUAUCACAUAUAUCAUACUAGAAAUGGCGCGAAUUGUAUCUGCUACACAUAACACCUUAGUUCCAGAGUCCGACCCUGAGGGGCCAGAAACGCGAAGAAAGGAGAAAAACCCCUCAGCCCUGCCACGGCAGCUCCGAGGCGCCGCCCGGAGCCGCCUCCCCUCGGGCGGGCCGCGCCCCGCGGCUCUCCCGCCUCCGCUUCCCGCCGUGAGGGACGCCCGGCGGCUCCGUCCCCUCAGCGCUCCCGGGGCUCCCAGCUCCGCAGGGCGCUGCUGCCGACCCAGCCCACCCUGGGGACAGCCACCAAGCUCCUCCCGCCUGCUCCCCCGCGGGAAGGGGCCAUCCCGAGCCGCCGGCUGUUUAUGGAAGGCCCCUGGCACCGCCGGGAAUUGCGGCGCCGAGCCCCCAGCCCCAACAUGGCCGCUGUCCCCUCACGGCGUGGGCACCAUUUUGUGGUCCGGGGUCCCAGGUGGUUUCGCGAUGCUGGUGCUUGAGGCUGGAGACAAAAGUCCUCUCACUGGGAUAGGGAAGGGCCUGGAUUAUUUUCCACAUGGUAUUUGGCCAGUAAGGAAUGAACACACAGGUGUCCUAGGCUAUCCCUCAUUUCAGAUUAUUUUCAAAAGACCACCUUAAUACAAGUUUCCAGGAACAGGUGUAUGAACUGGGCCCAAAACUGAGCUGGAGAGAUUCAGUCUGAGAAAACUCAAGAGGCAGACAGGUAUGUUAAUUUAUUUAAAUAUCUGACUAAGAAUUAAAACGUGUAACUAUUCCUCAAGGGUACCACAUAAUUUUCAUUUACAAGAAAAAAAAAACCAUCCACCUGGUGCUGAAAGAAAAGGAGAAAAGUAAGAAUUAACCAGCUGAAAACAGAUCUCGGCUCUCCAUGCUCCUUGCUGCACUGCAAUCCCAAGUGGAUAAUAGCUUGAAGAAAGGACUUCUGUCGCACCACCCAGAAAAGGCAGCAACAAAAAGAUUUUUCUUAUCUACAGGGAUAAGAGUAUUUAGGUAAAUACAAUACCGUACAAUAUCCUAAAACUCUACGAUAUCCUCAAACGAUAUUUUAAUCUUCCAACAGUCCCAGGUGUUAACAAAGCAUGUUAACACAAAGGUGUCAACUCACCUGGAAGGGGGUCAGCACCUACCUCUGGCAGGCAGUGCUGGGCUUUGUUUCUCCGGGAUUUGGGAUGGGGCACUGAAGUUCUGCUCCUCAUUGUGGGGCUGGGAAAGGGGAGGAACUCAUCACUCCGCCUCCCCUCAUGAUUUUUCCAUGCUGUGGGCCGGCAAUCCAACUGCCCAAACCCUGCCGGGAGCCACCUGCUCCUUACUCCACCCCUCUGCUCCCUCGGUAGCCGUGGGAACAAACUCCUCC